GCUUUGACUUUGAUGGCUUUCAGCUUCUAUUUUUUGAAAAGUAGCGCGCUCAGACCAGCUCGCUCACUCUUUUCCUCUUCCAUUUUUUAGGGCAAUUGUUUUGUUUGAUAGACGAAGCUUAGGGUCUCUUUGGGUUUGCAACCCUUACCCUCCUGGAAAAAAUCAUAGUUGCUAGACUGCGACACUUCAGACCAGGUACUAUUAGAGCCGCUAAUGGACGACGAGCUAUUUUCCGCUAUCCGGAGCUCAAGCAUUUGAGCCGCUAAAUGGACGAGACUCCUGGGGUAAAGGAUGCAGAGAAUGAGGAGAAAACACUCGUAUGGAGCAGGGAGUAGGUAUUGUACUACUUCCUGGUAUGGAGCACUGAGAAGCGCAUUAGGCGAUUUGAUCGCACGACAAGAGAGGAGCUGAUGGACGAUCUCUCCAGUGUCCCUCUUGGUUCGGAGCAGCGCCGAGUGCCGACGUUGGGACUUGGAGUUCUAGCAUCCGUAGCUGCCUCAGGGGGUGCCACUUCUCCCAUCAGCGUCGACUAGUCCGCCGAUCUCACUCAGCUCUGCUCUCCGAGCAUUCUGCUUCCAACACGACUUCCCGAAAGAAAAUGUGCUCGCGCAUUAGGAGGUGAAAGAUGCACCUGCAGGAGAAUACAUGCUUAAGAGAAGGCAGAAACAUGCCCGGAUCCACCAGAACUAGUGCUGGCAAGUCAACAGAGGCGAGUACUGAUAAUGUUCCAGAUUGUGGUAGGAUCACAUAAGCAAAAUU